UGGGGGAUAUUGCACAAUGGGGGGAACCCUGAUGCAGCGACGCCGCGUGGGUGAAGGAGCGUUUCGGCGCGUAAAGCCCUAUCGGCAGGGAAGAAGAUGACGGUACCUGACCAAGAAGCCCGGCUAACUACGUGCC
rnacentral:rRNA from 1 species